rnacentral:rRNA from 1 species
UGGGGAAUAUUGCACAAUGGGCGAAAGCCUGAUGCAGCAACGCCGCGUGAGGGAUGAAGGCCUUCGGGUUGUAAACCUCUUUUAGCAGGGAAGAAGCGAAAGUGACGGUACCUGCAGAAAAAGCACCGGCUAACUACGUGCCAGCAGCCGCGGUAAUACGUAGGGCGCAAGCGUUGUCCGGAAUUAUUGGGCGUAAAGAGCUCGUAGGCGGGUUGUCGCGUCUGCUGUGAAAAUCCGAGGCCAAACCUC